rnacentral:tRNA from 4 species
CGGGCGGUAGGGCGCGGGGACGUCCAGGGUCUUCACGCCCUUGGGCGGCGGCUCGCGGUUGUCGUGGUCGAGGUUCCACGUUCCGCCGGCCGG